GACGGUAACCAACCCCAUGACUGGGUAUAGCCGCGGGAAACUGCGGGUAAUCCCCAGCGACGUCCGUGGGAGGCAUCUCCCGUGGACCAAAGCUCCGGCGUCGUGGGACGGGCCGUCGUGGUAUUAGGUCGUUGGCGGGGUAACGGCCCACCAAGCCUGUGAUGCCUACCGGGCGUGCGAGCGUGGCCCGGCACACUGGGACUGAGACACUGCCCAGACUCCUACGGGAGGCUGCAGUCGAGAAUCUUCGGCAAUGGGCGCAAGCCUGACCGAGCGACGCCGCGUGGAGGAUGAAGGCCUUCGGGUUGUAAACUCCUGUCGAGGGGAAAGAAGGGGGCGCAAGCCCUUUGACUGAUCCCUGGAGGAAGCACGGGCUAAGUUCGUGCCAGCAGCCGCGGUAAGACGAACCGUGCGAACGUUAUUCGGAAUCACUGGGCUUAAAGCGCGUGUAGGCGGGACGGCACGUCGGUCGUUGAAAUCCCCCGGCUCAACCGGGGAAGGGGCGCCGAUACGACCGUCCUG
rnacentral:rRNA from 1 species